UGCCACCUUGUUCAUGGUCUGAUUGAGCUGAAAUUUGGAGGAGAGGUUCAUAAGUCAUUAAUCUUAAAUUUGAACGGUGAAGAUCGGAUUUGAAAGGUUUCAAAGGAAAUUGAUUGGCCAAAAGACAAGAAGUCAUAAUGUUGAAGGAGGUAGUGAUGCCGAAAAUCAUGAAGAUUACAUCAAAGUCAUUUGGAGGAUGAUCUUAUUUUUUAUAGAAUAGAUCUUAAUAGUUGUUGCACUAAUAUUUGUUCUUUUGUAGAAUUAGAAAUUGUUAUUGAAAUAUUUUGAUAUAAUUAAUAAAUUUGUAUGUAAGUAUGAAGUUACAUUAA